UACGUAGGUCCCGAGCGUUGUCCGGAUUUAUUGGGCGUAAAGCGAGCGCAGGUGGUUUAUUAAGUCUGGUGUAAAAGGCAGUGGCUCAACCAUUGUAUGCAUUGGAAACUGGUAGGCUUGAGUGCAGGAGAGGAGAGUGGAAUUCCAUGUGUAGCGGUGAAAUGCGUAGAUAUAUGGAGGAACACCGGUGGCGAAAGCGGCCCUCUGGCCUGUAACUGACACUGAGGCUCGAAAGCGUGGGGAGCAAACAGG
rnacentral:rRNA from 1 species